rnacentral:rRNA from 1 species
GACGAACGCUGGCGGCGUGCUUAACACAUGCAAGUCGAACGGAAAGGCCCUGCUUUUGUGGGGUGCUCGAGUGGCGAACGGGUGAGUAACACGUGAGUAACCUGCCCUUGACUGUGGGAUAACUUCAGGAAACUGGGGCUAAUACCGGAUAGGAGCUCCUGCUGCAUGGUGGGGGUUGGAAAGUUUCGGCGGUUGGGGAUGGACUCGCGGCUUAUCCGCUUGUUGGUGGGGUAGUGGCUUACCAAGGCUUUGACGGGUAGCCGGCCUGAGAGGGUGACCGGCCACAUUGGGACUGAGAUACGGCCCAGACUCCUACGGGAGGCAGCAGUGGGGAAUAUUGCACAAUGGGCGGAAGCCUGAUGCAGCAACGCCGCGUGCGGGAUGACGGCCUUCGGGUUGUAAACCGCUUUCGCCUGUGACGAAGCGUGAGUGACGGUAAUGGGUAAAGAAGCACCGGCUAACUACGUG